rnacentral:lncRNA from 1 species
UAUGCGAUUGGCUUGUAGGAUACUAUUCUUUCAAUCUUCCACUUGUACUAAAGUCAAUCACCCCUGUACCUGAUGCCUAAGCAAUCAGGACGAUGAUUACACUGCUGCUGUGUAAGGCUUAGUGAGCUGAUUCAUUAUAAUGUUCUUAAUAUAAACUCAUUUUAUGAUCAUAUCAUGAAUGAGGUGAAAGUGUCGAGGAUGUGCGUGGGUACCUAGUGAGACCAGACCCAACUCAA